GACGGAGGAUGCAAGCGUUAUCCGGAAUGAUUGGGCGUAAAGCGUCCGCAGGUGGCAAUUCAAGUCUGCUGUUAAAGCGCAGGGCUUAACUCUGUAAAGGCAGUGGAAACUGAAUAGCUAGAGUGUGGUAGGGGCAGAGGGAAUUCCCAGUGUAGCGGUGAAAUGCGUAGAGAUUGGGAAGAACAUCGGUGGCGAAGGCGCUCUGCUGGGCCAUAACUGACACUCACAGGACGAAAGCUAGGGGAGCGAAUGGG
rnacentral:rRNA from 1 species